rnacentral:tRNA from 1 species
GUAGUGGUGGCUCAGUGGGAGAAUGCUCGCCUUCCAUGUGGGAGACCCGGGUUUGAUUCCCAGCCAGUGCU